AUACGAAGGGUGCGAGCGUUAAUCGGAAUUACUGGGCGUAAAGCGCGCGUAGGUGGUUUGGUAAGCGAUAUGUGAAAGCCCCGGGCUUAACCUGGGAACUGCAUGUCGAACUGUCAGGCUAGAGUAUGGUAGAGGGGUGUGGAAUUUCCUGUGUAGCGGUGAAAUGCGUAGAUAUAGGAAGGAACAUCAGUGGCGAAGGCGACACCCUGGACCGAUACUGACACUGAGGUGCGAAAGCGUGGGUAGCGAACAGGAUUAGAUACCCUGGUAGUCCACGCCGUAAACGAUGUCAACUAGCCGUUGGGGGGCUUGUCCCUUCAGUGGCGGAGCUAACGCGAUAAGUUGACCGCCUGGGGAGUACGGCCGCAAGGUUAAA
rnacentral:rRNA from 1 species